GAUUCCCUGAGUAACGGCGAGCGAAAGGGGAACUGUCCAGCGCCAAGUCUUGACAUCCAUGGUGUUCAAGAGAUGCGGCGUUAAUGUCUCGCUGCAUUGAGCAUCGUUCCUGGUUUCAAGUUCCCACGACCGGGACUUCCAGAGCGGGUGUUAGGCCCAUAGAGAUCAGGAACCGGUGCAUGCUGGUGAGAUAUAUUAGAGUCAGGUUGCUUGAGAGUGCAGCUUAAAGUCGGUGGUAAACUCCAUCCAAGACUAAAUAUUACAGCGAGACCGAUAGCAAACAAGUACCGUGAGGGAAAGUUGAAAAGCACUUUGAAGAGAGAGUUCAAAAGUACGUGAAACCACUGGGAGGCAAACAGAUGGAACCACGAAGUGUGCGCCUCGGUCGAUUCAAUCACCCGUYYGCGCUAUUGUGGUUGGUUGCGGGAGCUCUUCGGAGUUUGCACCAANCGCAAUCCGGUGCUGGCGGGUGGUGCAUUUCGUACCGAGGCUGCUAAGCCACGUUCAACCAGCCGGCUGGGACGGCCGUAAGACAGGACCGGAGAAAGGUAACCGUCGGAUGCUUGCAUCCGAUGGCGUUAUAGUCUCUGGUCGGCACCGUCGCCUAGCAUACUGGUUGAUGUAAAUUCUCCGCAAGGAGUKURAAGCCGCAGCUGCCUACGGUCGGUAGUCGGUAUUGCGGAGCGUUCUUUGCGUAUCUUUCGAUGCGAAAAGGCGUUCCAAAAAUGCCGGCUACYGGCUGUUUGCACGUUGCGGUGGAACUGUGGCCGUAGUAGGUCGGUCUCCAUCUGACCCGUCUUGAAACACGGACCAAGGAGCCUAUCAUAUACGCGAGUCGCUCGGUCUUGAAUAGGCCCGGGAGGCACAAUGAAAGUAAAGUUACGAGGCUUUCGAGCCGCAGUAACGGCUCGCCUACUUCGUUUUUUCGGCGAUAUGGCGAAGCUGGAGCGUAUACGAUGGUACCCGAAAGAUGGUGAACUAUGCCUGGGCAAGACGAAGCCAGAGGAAACUCUGGUGGAGGUCUGUAGCGAUUCUGACGUGCAAAUCGAUCGUCAGACCUGGGUAUAGGGGCGAAAGACUAAUCGAACCAUCUAGUAGCUGGUUCCCUCCGAAGUUUCCCUCAGGAUAGCAGGCGCUUAUWWCUGACACAGUCUCAUCCGGUAAAGCUAAUGAUUAGAGGUCUUGGGGUUGAAACGACCUCAACCUAUUCUCAAACUUUAAAUGGGUGAGAUGGUUGACUUGCUUGAUUGAAGCCAACCAUUUGGAUGCAAGUGCCUAGUGGGCCAUUUUUGGUAAGCAGAACUGGCGCUGUGGGAUGAACCAAACGUCGAGAUAAGGCAUCAAAUGCAUACGCUCAUCAGACCCCAUGAAAGGUGUUGGUUGCUAUAGACAGCAGGACGGUGGCCA
rnacentral:rRNA from 1 species